GUGACGGAUGGGCAGAGAUACUUUAUGGCAAAGGAAAAAGCAAUAGCAUGGAAAAUGUGAAGUCACAUGAUCCUUAAGGUCUCAAGAGGGAAGGUGAGGAGGAAGUUCAUUACCUAGGAAGCAGCUUCAGCUCAGGACAAAGUAGUGACUUUCCUGUUUCUUGUGAUUCCUCAUUUUGGAAACCGCACAGCCUCAAGAUGAAGAUCACUGAAGGAUAACCUGAUUUUAGAGGGGAUCUCUAUACCAGCUCUGAAGAUAGAUGCAGUAGAGACCCUGAUUUCAAGGAACUUCCAUUCUACUUGAGGGAAAACUGCACAUGAAAAAAUAUAUAGAUGUCCAGGGUAAUAAGUCAUCACCCAGGCUACUCUCAUGUUUAGGCAAGACUAUGCCGAAAGAACUCCUGAUUCCAAACUCAUCACAUAUGGUGUUUUUUUUCUGGGAUGACUUGUAGAUAUGGCCUUGUUGGGUGAUGUCUGCUCCUAAAAUCACCUGAAGUCAGGCUUUCCCACUUCUCCUCAUCCUCAAGGAGGAAGUUAUCAGAUGCUGUUGAAAUGGUGCUUUAAGCAAGUCAGGCAGGAGGCUGGAGGACACCCUUAGCCACUGGCCUUCUCCCUCUGAGUUAUGGACAGCCUGACCCAGAAUACUUCCUCCUUGGCCAACUAUGUUCCAGCCAGUUUGCUUCCAAUGUUGGAAGAAAACCCAGAGUAAAUUCCUCAGUGCCCUACCCUUUCUUCAUGCUUAAUUCUUACUCAUGGUUAUGUGGACACACACAAAUCAGUCUGACUGAAUCCAGAAAAACAAAAUUUCAAAAUCAAAGAGUUGAAUUCUGCCAUACCAUCAUGUAGGUUCAGAUGUUCUCUUCUCCCCACCUUCAUGUGAUGCCUCAUUGUUGGUUUUAAUGAAAUUUUCAUUUUUCUAUUCAACACACAUUUUAAGUACCUACUUUGUAUAAGCAUAUAUAU